CAAACUUCAAAUCUUGAUGAAUGAAUGAUUGAGGACACUCACAUAAGCUCAUAUAUGCAUAAAAUAAUGAAUGAAAUAAAUUCCCUUGAUUGAAUUUGAUCAUAGGUUGAGGUUGCUUCAUGAGCAAGGCACAGUUGAAGCACAGUUGAAUUAGGGUUUCCUUGGGGAACAAGCCUUUGGUUUAUCUUGAUCAAAUUGGAAAAUUG
rnacentral:lncRNA from 1 species